AUUGAACGCUGGCGGCAUGCCUUACACAUGCAAGUCGAACGGCAGCACGGGCUUCGGUCUGGUGGCGAGUGGCGAACGGGUGAGUAAUGUAUCGGAACGUACCUUAGAGUGGGGGAUAACGUAGCGAAAGUUACGCUAAUACCGCAUAUUCUGUGCGCAGGAAAGCAGGGGAUCGCAAGACCUUGUGCUCUUUGAGCGGCCGAUAUCAGAUUAGCUAGUUGGUGAGGUAAAAGCUCACCAAGGCGACGAUCUGUAGCGGGUCUGAGAGGAUGAUCCGCCACACUGGAACUGAGACACGGUCCAGACUCCUACGGGAGGCAGCAGUGGGGAAUUUUGGACAAUGGGGGCAACCCUGAUCCAGCCAUGCCGCGUGAGUGAAGAAGGCCUUCGGGUUGUAAAGCUCUUUCAGCCGGGAAGAAAUCGCAUAGGUUAAUACCCUGUGCGGAUGACGGUACCGGAAUAAGAAGCACCGGCUAACUACGUGCCAGCCGCCGCCGUAACAC
rnacentral:rRNA from 1 species